CGACAAAAAAAUUUGAAUGGGCCAAUAAAUGAACCAAUUGCAUCAAUAAAUUGGUUAAUUCUCAUCCUAUUUGUCUUUUUGUAUUUGAAAUUAUUUAAUUACAAAGCGAAAAAUCCUGGAAACAGAGAAAUGGGGAAGUGAAUAAUUGGAGUAAACGUUUCUCAUUGGUCAAUUGAAGUGUAGCGCGCGACAGUCGAAUAAGCUCUGUGAAAGCGGCUGUCCCUUAAUGCAUGGUACAUUUGCGUUUGCGUUAAAUUCGACAUUUGAUUCAACAUGGCGGUUGACGUGGCAGGUUCGCGUGUGUAAUGCAUGAUGUGUUGGUGUUAUUAUCAAAGCAUAAUUCUGUCACGUUCAGUGUACCAUUUAUAAUUUGGGGUUGUCCAAUUUGCAGUACAGCGAAUAGUUUGAUUGUGGAUCUUCAAACAGGAGAGUUGCAUCUAUUCAGUCUUCAAGAAAAGUAUUACUAUUGAAACACUGGCUGAUGCAUUGUUGGACAAAUAUAAGGAAAACUAUUCUGGUGAGCAAAGUUUGAAUAACUUUAAGUAAGUGAAAUUCAUUGAAGAACCCAUCAUACCACUCAUUUUAAAUACUUCAUUUGUGGGUUUAUUUUUCUAAGUGAGAAACCUAACCUAACCUUUUUCUUGAUGUAAUACACUUUUUCUUUUUCAAUGAAAUGAUAUAUUUAUUAUUUUUUAAUUAGUGCUGAUGAAUUCACAGAGUUGUUAAUUUUAGUAUAUUUUUUAGUAUACAUUUGUUUGAGAGUAGGAACAUCCUAAUUUGAAUACAUUUUUAAUAUUUGUAAUAUGACAGUAUUCAGGAAUAUUUUAUUCAGUGAAUAAAUAUUUUGAA